rnacentral:lncRNA from 1 species
AGCAUAUUCCUAGAAAUGUUUCUAAACCAUAACCUGAGAGAAUGUUGAUCUCCAUAGUGUGAAAAUGACUUGGGCCAGUUUAACUUGCACUUUUUUUUUUCUAAACUAAUUCCGUUUUGUUUUUCUCUGAUAAUUCUUCUCUUUCCUGAGCCUCUUUAGAGCAGCACUUACAGGAUUGCCUCUGUAAAGCCUUAUUCCUGUCCCAGAAAAGGAACCAUGCAAGAAGCGCAGCCACCGGAAGUCCUUAAAACAGCAGGAAAGGUUGGCCUGUCCCCCUUUUGUGCAGCUACCUAUCUGCUGAGGAGCAUCUGGGCCUCAUUCCUCCAAGUCCACUGGAGGGUCCAGAAGAGGGAGUCAGAGUUGUAUCCUGGUGGAGCUGGCAGAAAGGCAGAAAGCCUUUCUGACAGCUAUGGAAUACGAUUAGCCAAGGUCCACUUGGCCCAGCACUAAGAAAAAGAUGCGUAGUUUGCACAGAAGGUUUUGUGAUCCUGCCUCUCAACAGCCCCAGCAGCUUGGGAACUAGCAAGAGCACAUUUCUUGCCUCAUCAGCUGUCCUGAGAUGGAAAACUCAGUGAAUAUAGGACCCUGAUUCUGAUGAAUGGGGCACGUGGU